AAUGAACGCUGGCGGCGUGCUUAACACAUGCAAGUCGUACGAGAAAUUCGCCUUCGGGCGGAGAGUAAAGUGGCGCACGGGUGAGUAACGCGUGGGUAAUCUACCCUUGAACUGGGGAUAACACAUCGAAAGGUGUGCUAAUACCGAAUAAGACUCCGAUCACCUCGGUGGUUGAAGUAAAAGAUGGCCUCUGCUUGCAAGCUGUCAUUUGAGGAUGAGCCCGCGUACCAUUAGCUUGUUGGUGGGGUAAUGGCCUACGAAGGCGACGAUGGUUAGCGGGACUGAGAUGAUGGCCAGCCACACUGGAACUGGAACACGGGCCAGACUCCUACGGGAGGCAGCAGUGAGGAAUUUUGCGCAAUGGGGGAAACCCUGACGCAGCAACGCCGCGUGAGUGAAGAAGGCCCUCGGGUUGUAAAGCUCUGUCGAGUGGGAAGAAACUUUUUCGGCCGAAUAAGCCGAAAGAUUGACGGUACCGCUGAAGGAAGCACCGGCUAACUCCGUGCCAGCAGCCGCAGUAAGAC
rnacentral:rRNA from 1 species